UGAUAUCUUAUUUGUGACAUGAAGAGUAAGAGAGCCACAUGUCAAUCAUAAGGAGGUGUUUUUGGGAACGUUUAUAUGUUCCAAUCAUGCUAUGUAUCUUCUACAAUUUUAUUGACAAUUGGUCUUUAUGCUUGUUUCAGAUGGAGCUGCUGGCAUUAUGACAGGAAACCACUAUUAGCAUCUGAGGUUGAUCAAACAUGGAAGCCAUCUAUGUAUAUUUAUCUAUAUCUGUUUGUACAUAAUGAAACUUGUGAGCUAACACCUGAAAUAUUUUUAGAUUAGCACUGCCUACAGUAUAAUCUAAGUAUUAAUGAUCCAUUAAUAGGUCUGAUCUAUAACAAUAGGUCUGAUCUAUAAUAUGAACACUAUCUGAUGCACCAUAUACGUUUCUCUAUAUUGUAGAGAGCAACAUUCAUGGCAUUAGCCUUCUGUAGAUGGGUGAAAAGUAUGAAGAACCUGACACCAUUAAGACAUGAAGCCACACCUAUAGGAUUCUACAUAAUCAACCUUCUGAGGUAACAUGUCAAAUAUUUUUAGAUGAGGACUGCAUAGAGCAUAAUUGAACCAUCAUUGAUCCAGUAAUUGGUAUGAUUUAUAAUUUCGUUCAGAUAGAACUUACUUGAUGUUGCCUGAUUGCUCAAUGGAGCUGUCUUGUGGCCGCUGGAGGAAGACAACUCCAAAGUGCUAAUUCUGAAGUUGAUCUCGAAGUUUGAGUCGCUGGAGGAAGAUGAUGUGGGAGGAAGAUGAUGUAGAAGUUGUAACUUAAAAUCUUUGGACAAUGAACCUAUGAGGUCAUGGGGAAGGUUUAUAUGGACGGUUAAGUUUCUCAUGUUUGCACGAUGGAAAAAAGUUUUUUUGGAUCCCGUCUGGACACAUUCUAUUUGGAGAGAGAUAUGAUAGUUUUGGUUUGUUUAGGCACAUUAGAACUUUUUUUUUCUGGGAUGGCCUCAUGGUUGUAGUUUUCUUGAGAAAAGCUGAUGGCAUGGUCCAUCCUGUAUGUGUGUGAUGGCCCAACCUAUAUGUUUUUAUUGUUUAAUGAUGCAUGAUGCAUGCGUGUUUCUGAUCCCUAACGGGAUGGUCCAUCCUAUUGGGGUUGUGGUUGGAUCAUGAAAAUCAACGUGAAGUCAUC
rnacentral:lncRNA from 1 species